UUGAUCCUGGCUCAGAUUGAACGCUGGCGGCAGGCUUAACACAUGCCAAGUCGAGCGGAGAGAGGUAGCUUGCUACUGAUCUUAGCGGCGGACGGGUGAGUAAUACUUAGGAAUCUGGCUAUUAGUGGGGGACAACAUUUCGAAAGGGAUGCUAAUACCGCAUACGUCCUACGGGAGAAAGCAGGGGAUCUUCGGACCUUGCGCUAAUAGAUGAGCCUAAGUCGGAUUAGCUAGUUGGUGGGGUAAAGGCCUACCAAGGCGACGAUCUGUAGCGGGUCUGAGAGGAUGAUCCGCCACACUGGGACUGAGACACGGCCCAGACUCCUACGGGAGGCAGCAGUGGGGAAUAUUGGACAAUGGGGGGAACCCUGAUCCAGCCAUGCCGCGUGUGUGAAGAAGGCCUUAUGGUUGUAAAGCACUUUAAGCGAGGAGGAGGGUACUGGUAUUAAUACUACCAGGUACUGGACGUUACUCGCAGAAUAAGCACCGGCUAACUCUGUGCCAGCAGCCGCGGUAAUACAGAGGGUGCGAGCGUUAAUCGGAUUUACUGGGCGUAAAGCGUGCGUAGGCGGCUAAUUGAGUCGGAUGUGAAAUCCCCGAGCUUAACUUGGGAAUUGCAUUCGAUACUGGUUAGCUAGAGUGUGGGAGAGGAUGGUAGAAUUCCAGGUGUAGCGGUGAAAUGCGUAGAGAUCUGGAGGAAUACCGAUGGUGAAGGCAGCCAUCUGGCCUAACACUGACGCUGAGGUACGAA
rnacentral:rRNA from 1 species